UACGGAGGGAGCUAGCGUUGUUCGGAAUUACUGGGCGUAAAGCGCGCGUAGGCGGUUACUCAAGUCAGAGGUGAAAGCCCGGGGCUCAACCCCGGAACUGCCUUUGAAACUAGGUGACUAGAAUCUUGGAGAGGUCAGUGGAAUUCCGAGUGUAGAGGUGAAAUUCGUAGAUAUUCGGAAGAACACCAGUGGCGAAGGCGACUGACUGGACAGGUAUUGACGCUGAGGUGCGAAAGCGUGGGGAGCAAACAGG
rnacentral:rRNA from 1 species